UACGGGGGGGGCAAGCGUUGUUCGGAAUUACUGGGCGUAAAGGGCGCGUAGGCGGCCCGCUAAGUCGAACGUGAAAUCCCCAGGCUCAACCUGGGAACUGCGUCCGAUACUGGCAGGCUUGAAUCCGGGAGAGGGAUGUGGAAUUCCAGGUGUAGCGGUGAAAUGCGUAGAUAUCUGGAGGAACACCGGUGGCGAAGGCGGCAUCCUGGACCGGUAUUGACGCUGAGGCGCGAAAGCUAGGGGAGCAAACGGGG
rnacentral:rRNA from 1 species